GCUUUGGGCUCUAGCUUGUUUUCAGGACAGAAGGGGUACUCCAGUCUAGUCUGAAUAGUCUUGCCUUCUUGUCCUGUUGAUUUUUUUUUUACAGAUCAUAUACAUCCAUGUAAGAUCACUGUUCAGUUAUGCUGGGGAACUAAACUGGAAGAGGAUGGAUGCUGUAACUGGGUAUGAAGGUGAUGAACAUGGGAUCACUCCUGUGAAUCACAGUCAUUGUCUUGAGUGGGCUGACAUUUUAGAAGAUGACGGAGAAGAUAUAGAGCAUAUACAUACACUUUAGAAUGAGAGCUUCUUAAAAUCAGAAUGAGAAAAAUAAUCAAAACAUUAUUCACCACAUGGACAUUCAGAAGGAGAAGGAUUUAGUGUAGCUGACACUGAUGGAGUUCAAAAGAGCUGGAUCAGAUCUGUGCUGAAGGUUAGUGUUAGCUUAUUCACAGGUUUGUUAUGUCUGCCAUCUGCUUGUGUUACCUAACUUCUAAAAUAUUCUGCCUAAAAAUAAGUGUGUGCAUCUGAGUAAUCCCAAGGAAUAUAAAGGCAUUAUUCCUGUUUGGGAAGACUGGCAUGCAUGUAGUUCUUUCUAGGACCAAGGUUAGAAUAACCCUUUGAAUGGAGGCCUUGUCUUAUGUGUGGAGUUUAUCAUUCUCGGGACUAUAUAUAUAUAUGUACAUAAAUAUAAAAUAUAUAAUAUAAUAUAUAAAUAU
rnacentral:lncRNA from 1 species